rnacentral:lncRNA from 1 species
AUGUGUAACAUUUUCCUCUGCAUGGAACUUGAUUUCCAGAUGAAUUCACACCACUGGAAGAGAACUGAAUGUAUUCCUAAAAGAGGGAGAAAAAACGUAACAGAAAUGGGACUGUUUAGAAAACAUCGAGUAAUCCAUAUAAGAAUAGAGAUGAUGGAGGUGUUCCCAAAAGCUAGACACCAAUCUGUGCUUCUUCUGAAGAAGUAUUUGCAUCGGUAUUUUUCUACAUAUAUGUUUGACUUUUUGUUUAUGUUUCCUUUGCUUUGCUUCUGAGAUCCAUAACAAAACCACUACACCUUUUUGCAUUUAACUUUUCUCAUGCACUGAAGAUUGUAUCUCAGAAAUUACACACGUGACACACCUAACAUUAUAAAUGGAGGAAGUUGUUAGAUACUUUUCUCUUUGUGUUGGAAGGUUGUUACAACCUAAAUAAUCCCAUUUUAAGGUGAAAUAAAGAGAUUCACACCAGAUUCUAACA